rnacentral:rRNA from 1 species
CUCGUAGGCGGCCAACUAAGUCGGACGUGAAAUCCCUCGGCUUAACCGGGGAACUGCGUCCGAUACUGGAUGGCUAGAGUUCGGGAGAGGGAUGCGGAAUUCCAGGUGUAGCGGUGAAAUGCGUAGAUAUCUGGAGGAACACCGGUGGCGAAGGCGGCAUCCUGGACCGACACUGACGCUGAGGAGCGAAAGCCAGGGGAGCAAACG